CAGGCCUAACACAUGCAAGUCGGACGGGAUUUGGGAGCUUGCUCCUGAUGAGAGUGGCGCACGGGUGCGUAACACGUAUGUAACCUACCUUGAUCUGGGGGAUAGCCUCUCGAAAGAGAGAUUAACACCGCAUAAUAUGUUUGAAUAGCAUUGUUUAAACAUCAAAUAUUUAUAGGAUCAAGAUGGGCAUGCGGAACAUUAGCUAGUUGGUAAGGUAACGGCUUACCAAGGCUACGAUGUUUAGGGGAUCUGAGAGGAUGACCCCCCACACUGGUACUGAGACACGGACCAGACUCCUACGGGAGGCAGCAGUAAGGAAUAUUGGUCAAUGGGCGGAAGCCUGAACCAGCCAUGCCGCGUGCAGGAAGACGGCCCUACGGGUUGUAAACUGCUUUUAUACGGGAAUAAACCCUGAUAUGUAUAUCAGGCUGAAUGUACUGUAAGAAUAAGGAUCGGCUAACUCCGUGCCAGCAGCCGCGGUAAU
rnacentral:rRNA from 1 species